UCCACUCCCUUAUUUAACCAACAAUAAAAAAUAAUUAAAUACCCUAUUUCCCCUCUACCCGCCUCCACCAAUCCAUCACUCCUUCUGAUUAGUUCCCUGGGCCCUUCUCUAAUUGUUCUCCAAACAUUGAAGGUUAAAAACUUAAAAGAUAAUCCGGAAUCAAGAGUCGUGAAACAAGUUGAUUAUUGUAGAUAAAAUGGUUGGAGUCAAAGAAUCUCAUUUCCCAAAAACCUUGAUACUCGUCACAUAUUCACAGGCUAAGAAGAAGAGAUGCUAAAGAUGUUUUCCGCAUUCAAAUUAUAUUUGGAUUUUAGGAUUAGUUUUUGUUAAUUAUAUUUUUCAGCAUUUGAGUAGGACUUUGUUGGGUUCAGUUUUUUUUUUUUUUUUGGAUUAAUUAGUAGCAGACUAUUGUUUGAAUUAGGAUACCUUAUUUUUUCCACCGAUAAUUUAUGGAUUUUGUAGUAUAUACCUAUUAGAUUAUAUUCCAUGCACGCACGGAUAUUCGAAAGUCAUUCCAUUUUUUUUAUAAAAUAUUGAAUUGGAAUAUUUUAUCCUUUAAAGCUAAUGUCUAAUUAAUAAAGCUUGAACA